AGAACUUUGGGAAAUUAUUCAAGAAGAGAGGCAUGGUGGUAUGCUGGAAAGUCUGCUGGGCUUGAAAGUAGGCAACCCACGCUCCUGUUCCUGUUCUCAUUGAUGAGUACCCUGACUUCAGGAGUUUCUCUGCAUGAGCUCUCUCUUUGUCUGCUGCCAUCCACUUAAGAUGUGACUUGCUCCUCCAUCGCCUUCUGCCAUGAUUGUGAGGCCUCCCGAGCCACGUGGAACUAGAUGGCAGCUCCGUGCAUGUUAUUGCUGUUGAAGACCCAGUAGAACAAGAUGUGGAUGUAGAAAGCAGUAAUACUGGUGAC